UACGAAGGGGGCUAGCGUUGCUCGGAAUCACUGGGCGUAAAGCGCACGUAGGCGGCUUCUUAAGUCAGGGGUGAAAUCCUGGAGCUCAACUCCAGAACUGCCUUUGAUACUGAGGAGCUUGAGUCCGGGAGAGGUGAGUGGAACUGCGAGUGUAGAGGUGAAAUUCGUAGAUAUUCGCAAGAACACCAGUGGCGAAGGCGGCUCACUGGCCCGGUACUGACGCUGAGGAGCGAAAGCGUGGGGAGCAAACAGG
rnacentral:rRNA from 1 species